GUCUGUGGAUCUACGUCAGUGUUGACGCUGCUUACAGGUCAGGUCUGUGGAUCUACGUCAGUCAACAGUUUACGAAGUUAACAAAGUUUACAGUUGACCCAUGUUACGACAAUGUUAAAACAGUUUGCAAAGAUUCUGUUUACAGUUUACCAGGUUGUUUAUUGCUGCCGACGUUUCAAAGCCAAAAAUAUGCAAUGACAACUAACCAACUGACUGCAUGUGAUUCCAAAAACUGUUCCACAUCAUGUUUGAACCCCAGCUUCAGUCCAGGUUCCUGAUCAUGUCUGAACCCCAGCUUCAGUCCAGGUUCUCCUGACGUUUGAACCCCUCCAGCCUCAGUCCAGGUUCCUCAUGUCUGAACCCCAGCCUCAGUCCAGGUUCCUCAUGUCUGAACCCCACCCUCAGUCCAUGUUCCUCCUGUCUGAACCCCACCCUCAGUCCAUGUUCCUCCCGCCCCACUACCGCUGGACCGAGCUCCGGUUCCACC
ensembl:lncRNA